CACACGACUCUCGGCAACGGAUAUCUCGGCUCUCGCAUCGAUGAAGAACGUAGCGAAAUGCGAUACCUGGUGUGAAUUGCAGAAUCCCGCGAACCAUCGAGUCUUUGAACGCAAGUUGCGCCCGAGGCCACUCAACCGAGGGCACGCCUGCCUGGGCGUCACGC
rnacentral:rRNA from 1 species